rnacentral:lncRNA from 1 species
ACAAUUAAGAAGCAUAUCUUUUAUUUGAUUUACAUUCACAUAGACAUAAGUACGAUGGUCUUGUCUUGAACACAACAUCAUAAGUAACAUAAAGCAUUGAAGUGCAAGAGCAAAGACUACUGAUUCAUUGCUAGGAAGUUGUAAACAUGACAAUGCAAGAAAACACAAAGCAGAAUCUCUUAUUAUUUAAGCAGUAAUAAGAUAAGAGAGGAUAUUGCAUGUUCUAGGCAUGGUUGUUGUCCUCCACUGGAGGAUACUUCCCAUAAGGUGGUUUCUUGUAUGGUGGCUUUUCGUAUGGUGGCUUGUAGUAAGGUGGUUUUGGCUUGUAAAUAGGAGGCUUGUAAAUUGGAGGCUUGUAAAUUGGAGGCUUGUAAUAGAUGGGAGGCUUGUAAAUGGGAGGCUUCUUGAUUGGUUUGUAAUAAGUAGCAAAACCUUGAGGAAUGAGGAUUAGGGCAGCAAGAACAAACACCAGAAAGCUUGAAAAGGAAGCCAUGUUAAAGAUUGGUGUGCAUAACAGACUGAGUAAUGUGUUCAUAUAUAUAGUAGUUAGGAGGGGUCAUUGUAGGUGUAAGGUCUAAAUCUAGGUCAUUAAUGAUUUGCUUUGUCAUAUUAUGGUAUUUGCCAAAGUUCGGUGUGAUUAUUCAAAAUUGAUUUAGAAAUUAUACAUUGAUAUACACAAAUAUUUUACAUUCAUUUAAUACUUGUUAUUUUUUACUCAAUUGUGCUAAAAAAUAUUUUUUAUAGUAAUUAAAAUCCAUGAGAUAUAAAAAAUGAAGCAGUGACACUAUUAUAGAUAUGAAAAGUUUUUUUAUUUGGAUUGGACUUAGAACUGAUGUAAAAAGUGGCUCAGUAACAAAAUUGUAAUAAAUUACAAUUUUUUUAUACCAAUUACACUCAUAAUUGAAUAGAAAGUCGAUUUUCUAUACUAGUUAGACUUAGAACCGAUAUAGAAAGUGUGGUGGUAACAAAACUAUAAUAUUAAACAAACUUUUCUAUAUUCAUUGCAAUCAGAACAAAUAUAGAAAGUUGUUUUUCUAUCCUGGUUAGUCAAUAUAACCGGGAUAUAAUAUUUAAUAUUCAUCUCCUUCUUCUUUUUGCGCUUCAAUUUCGCAAAACUCUUUUUCUUGUUCUCUCUAUGCUUCACCUUCAUUACUUUUCGCUCUCUCUGUGCUUGGCUUCCAUUCAUUCUUGGUCUCUCUACGUUUCCAAUAGUUCACUAAAGUCGCUUGUGCUAUCGUUUGUGGUUGUUGUUUUUGUCAUCGCUGUGGUCGUUGUUUGUUGUCGAUUUUUUAGUCGCGGUGGUUGUUGAAGUUAUCACUGUUGUAGGUCAAGUUGUGGUUCAUCUUUGUCAUCAAUGGUUGGUAUUGCAGUGCCUAUUUUCAUGGAGGUUGGAGUCGUUGUUGUGGUGUCAUUGUUAUCACUGCAUUUUUUCUUCCUCUUGCGUUGAAGCUUUCUUGGUUGCGUUGUUGGUGUUGUAGUAGUGUGGUGAGUAACACUAAAGCUUCCUUGUGUGGUAUGGUAGGUCGUUGCACGUGGUGUUUUUUUGAUCGUUUUGUUGUGGUUCUUGGCAAAUUUUAAACCUUAAUUUACUAUUGUUGAGGAUGUUGUGUUUUGACGUAUUUAUUGUUACAUUGCAUUCGUUGGGAGGAAAAUUUAAUAUUGUGAGGUUUUCCAUUUUUUGGAGCUUUCCAUGUUUGUGUUAUUGCAUUCAAUUGGUGUGAUUACUCUUUUGUGUUAGAAUUUAUGAGAAAAAAGUGAGGUAUAAAAAUCAAUAGGUUUGAAUCUCUACAAAUGAUGAGGCUGCAAGUGAGUAGAUUUUUGGUGGUGAUCAAAAUCACCAAAUAAGUUGUAGGCAAAAGAAAAAUGGAGAUCAAUACGAGUCCUAAUUAGAAAGACUAUUUGGGAAUGAGAUAUCAAUCUCUUAAAUACGUUGAAGUGAAGCGUAUUGAACUAAAUCCAUUGAUUAAUUCUUUAUGUUGUGGUUUGGUAUGACUAAGUUCACAUAUUGGACUCAUGUUUAACUGUUUCUUAGAUCUACCUAAAAGUAGAGGUGUUGGUUUUUACAUAUAAUAAUGGAUAGGUGUUGAAUAAAUUUUAUACGCAUAACAAAUGAAUAUGGGAGCAGAGUAGAACAAUUUCUUGAGUUUGCAAAGACAAGUGUUCUAGACAAUAACAAAAGAUUUUAUUGCUCAUGUGUUAAUUGUUUGAAUGGAUGAAAACUAUCAACUGAAGUUCUUUGGGAGCAUGUUGUUCUCCUAAAGUUACACAAAAUGGACAUGACAUAGUGAAUUAAUAGACACACCUAGUGCAUCCAGAAUGCACUAAGUAUACUUUAUUGUCAAUGGUAUCAAAACACUUUGGAGUCAUAUUAUAUGCAUUUGGAGUCAUAUAAUAUGCAUUUGCAUUCUUAAGAGAAGAUUCUCGUGAUUCUUGGAUUAUAACACUGAUUCUUAUCAAAGAUUAACAUCUUUCUGGAGAACUUUCACUCGACUUAUUAAUCUGCUAGAUUGUGGCUUCCCUAUCCUUGUCUCAUUCUGCAUUCUUCUAUGAUUUAUUCAAGAGAUAGUCCUCUAUUAUACCUUUUUUUCUUAAAAAGAAUUUUUCCUCAAAUUUGUAUAACUUAAAUAUUCCUUAUCAUUUUAAGAAGUUAGAACAACUAGAAAAUGAGGUUGUGGUCAUAUUAUGCCUAUUAGAUAUGUACUUUACACACACGCAGACAAGGACACACACACACAGACUCACAAAUACACAGUCACACACACAAACACACACACACACACAUAAACACACACACACACACAUACAUAAAUGGACAUGCGCGCGCACACACAAAGACACACACACCCAGAAACACACAUACAUAGACACACACACACCCACAAACACACAUACAUAGACACACACACACACACAAACACAAACACACAUACACACAAACAUAGACACACACACCCACAAACACACAUACACACAAACAUAGACACACACUCCCACAAACACAAACAUAAACAUACACACAAACACACACACACACACACAAACAAAUUGACAUACAGAUAGACACAUACAGACACACAAGAAGUCAUCCCAAAAGAAGUCAUCCCCUUCUUAAGUGCUCAUAAAUAUAUUGUUAAAAGAAAGAAAUAAUCCACGAAUACUUCAGAAGUUGGUUAUUAAUGAGCACAACAAAACCUUUUUAAAGUGGUUCAAACAACAUGUUCAAGCUUACCAUACAACCUCUGACACAUUAAAUUGAAUACCAAGUGAACCAAACUUUGAUGUCAUAUGUUGGAGUGGGUAUGAUAUGAAAAAUUAUACAUUUCAUACAAAGAAAAUGAAAAAAAAAACACCACUCACAAUAAUGGAGUAAUAGUUGUGGUUGAGUCAAUGCAUUUCUUGAGUUCAAAGGAUAAAAAUCCUUUUAUGGCAUCAAUGUGCUACUUUCGUGUUAUGGAAGAUAUUUGGGUGAUAGAUUACACAAGUUUCAGAGUACUUAUUUUUAAAUGGGUUGAUUGUAAUAUUGGCAUAAGGACCAAUGAUCUAAGUUUUACAUUGUGCAGAUAUUACAAUUCUUGUUGCUUUCUUGAUGCCUUGGAGAUUUCUUGAGACCUUUGAAUGUUUCUUGUUGUGUACUUGUACUUAAACUCAAUGCUUUGUUAGAAUAUUGCAAAUGAAAUUCGUAAUGAGACAGGUUUCAAUAUAGAUAUAUAUAGGAUAUGACAUUCUGGUGUAGUUUAAUUGAUUAGAUAAAAACCUUAAUCGAUUAAGCCGAAGUUUAUGUUUCAAUGACAUUAUGGUGCAGUUUAAUCGAUUAGGUAAAACCUUAAUUGAUUAGGCCAAAGUUUCUGUUUUAAUCGAUUAGGUUAUUAAUGUUAUCAAUUAAAACAGACAAUUUUGUCAUUUUUUUCUUCUUAUGAGUUCUGACAUGCUUUAACUGAUUGCUAACUAACAUAAUGGAUUAAUAGCAUCAAAAUUGCAGAUUGUAAACUGUCUAACCCAGUUACAUUCAUCUAUACAUGAUAUAUGUAUCUAACAUGAUUUUCCUAUGAUUUUAAACAUUGAUCCAUCAAGAAAGAACAUAUGAUUAAUUCAUCAUCAAAAACAUUUUACCAAAUUUAGAAGGGAAAAGCUCCCCCUUUCAACACUAACCGGUAUAAAAAGUUACUUUUUAUAUACAAAUUUAUCUCUUUCCUAAUAAACUUUUUAUAUCGGUUUCAGAUUCAGUAUAAAAAGUCAAAUACUUUCUAUACCGAUUCAAAAACUGGUAUAAAUUUUUUUUAACUCAUAUAAAAAAGCUUUUCUGAUAUAGUGACUCUUCCUUUUCUUUUUAAAAUAUAAAAGUUUAUGUUUUUAAGACUAUUUUAAUCUUAUAAUAUGUGUCAAAUGAAUAUAAAUGUAUCUUAUCCUACUAUGACUUGAUUUAGACCCUUUAGUCUUGUGUGGCAUUGUUGCAAAUCAAGAAUCUCAACAAAAUCUAUAUAUUUAUCCAUAAAGAUCUCUAAAGAAAUAUAUAAAAAAGGAAAACCCAAAAAUUAAUUUUUUUAUAAAUUACAAUAAUUUAUACGAGUUAGAAAUAAAAAAAAAAAUUGGUAACAAAGUUUUUUCAAUCAGUUUAAUCACUAAUUUCAUUUUUCGUAUUUUUUGUUUUAAAAGUUCUUGAAGAAAGAACUCGUACAAGAUUAAAUAUAUUUUUAAAAUGUAAAUUAAUUUAUGUAUACUAUACACAUAUAUACAGACUAUAUUACAUUUUGAUUUAUAUUUUAAUGAUAAAUUAAAAGUAUUAUUUUAAUUUAUUUAAAUACGACUACUAAUUUAAAUUCAAACAGAAAAAAUUAAAUAUAGUGGUGUUCCUUUCAAAUUAAAUUGAAACAUUCGAAACUUUUAAAUAUUAUUAAAAAUAAAAUAAUAUAUACGUUAAAAGAAGUUCUAUGAAUGUUUCUAAUCCAUAGAAUUUUAUAUGGUUUAUGAGUUGUUUUUAUCUUGUGAAUUUUUUUAAUAAAGGAUUUAUUUCAGCUGUCAGUUUUUUUAAUCCAAAUUCAUAUGGUGAAAUCCUAUAAAAUAAUACUAUAAAAUGCACUAAGACGUAUCUAAUUAACCAUAAACAUAAAGGUCUUUUUAUUCAUAAUUUUGUAGUACAAUUAAGAAGCAUAUUUUUUAUUUGAUUUACAUUCACAUAGACAUAAGUCUGAUGGUCUUGUCUUGAACACAACAUCAUAACUUACACAAAGCAUUGAAGUGAGCAAAGAAUACUGAUUCAUUCAUUGCUAGGAAGUUGUAAACAUGACAAUGCAAGAAAACACAAAGCAGAUUCUCUUAUUAUUUAAGCAGUAGUAAGAUAAGAGAGGAUGUUGUUGCAUGUUCUAGGCAUGGUUGUUGUCUUCCACUGGAGGGUACUUUCCAUAAGGUGGUUUCUUCUUGUAUGGUGGCUUUUUGUAUGGUGGUUUGUAGAAAGGUGGUUUUGGCUUGUAAAUGGGAUGCUUAUAAAUAGGAGGCUUGUAAAUUGGAUGCUUCUUGAUUGGUUUGUAAUAAGUAGCAAAACCUUGAGGAAUGAGAAUUAGGGCAGCAAGAAGUAACACCAGAAAGCUUGAAAAGGAAGCCAUUUUUAGGGUUGGUGUGUUAGCAGACUGAGUAAUAUGUUAGUAUAUAUAGUAGUAAGGAAGUUCAAUGUAUUAUGUAGGUGUAAUGUCUCAAUCUAGGUCAUUAAUGAUUUGCUUUGUCACACUUUGAUAUUUGCCAAAGUUUGGUGUGAUUAUUCAUCAUUGAUUUAGACCCUUUGGUCCCAUGUGCCAUUCUAGCAAAUAAGAACCUGGACACAAACUCUAUAUUUAUGCAUAAAGAUCUCUAAAGAAAUAUAAAUAAAUAACAGAAAAUUAUAUAUUUUUUAUGAAUUAAAAAUAAGUUAGAAAUACAAAAUUUGAUAACAAAGUUUUUUUCAAAUUAGUUUAAUCAUUAGUUUCAUUUUUCAUAUUUAAAUAUAUUUUUAAAAUGUAAUUUAAUUUGUAUUAGAUUAGAUUUUUAUUUAUAUUUUAAUGAUAAAUUAAAAGUAUUAUUUUAAUAUAUUUAAAUACAAGUACUAUUUUAAAUUCAAAUCCGUUACAGGCAAGAUUAAGUAUAGUAUUGUUUCUUUCGAAUCCGAUUGGAAAAGGCAGAAACUUUGAAUUGGAAAAAAUCAAUUUGAGGGGACACUCCUUAUCUUGUGAGAAACUUCAUAACACUUAUGUAAUAAAUGCAAAACCCCACAAGCCUUUGCAAGUUGAAACAAUUAUAAAUGGUAAAGUUAAAAUGAGUUGUAUUUGAUUGCGUGUGGUGUGCAAUCGUAGCAUGUGUUCUGUCUCAAUCAAGAUGUUGAUGACCACGUUAUAUGAACAGUACACUGUUAUAUGAAGAGUACACUGUAAUUUUAAAAUGUUCAUUUUAUUUACUUCAACUUUUUUUCAAAACUAGAUUGUGAAAAUGGAUCAUCUAUCCGAUCCGAUUCGACUUACUACAGGUUAGUCAUUGAGUUAACUCAAUUCAGUUUAUUUAAUAGUGAGUUGGAAAAAUUUUAAUUUGGUCUUACUCACUACAAAUUAGUGAGUCAAAUGGAUUGGUUCACGCAUUCUCUUAAUUACAAUUUUUUUAAAUAAAAAAAAUUACAAACUUUUUUAAUUCAAAUCUAAAUAAAUUUCACUCCUAAAACAAUGUUAAACUCAAAAAAAUUCAAAAGAAUAAAAAAAACAAAAUAAUCUUUCUUGAUAUACUAAGGAGAGUAUUUUGUAAGGUUUCAUAAGAUAAUAAAUCAAUAACAAUAAAAUAAAAUUAGAUGUGUUGGUGAGCCAAUCCAACUCACCACAGGUUCAACUCAGAUAAGCCAAGUUGAAAAUUGACUCGCAUAAAAAAAAUACAUUUUUUUCCAAACCAAACCCAUGAUAAACAGAAUUUACUCGAAUCUAUUUUCACAUCUCUAUUCAAAACUAUCAUUAAGAAAUAUAGGUGCAAUAGGAAUUAUAUUACUGAACCCAUCUUAGAAUUCAAAGUUUUCUUAUGAAUUUCUGAUAAGUAUGUGAAAAAAAAAUUAGGGUUCUGGUUCUUAAUAAGAACGGAUAGGAGCAGUCUCAAUCCGAUUACGAGAUCUACAACUUUUAACGUUUCUUUCGUCGAAAAGAUACUGAAUUAGUGUUGUCAUUCAUUAAAAAAAGUAUCACGUGAAUGAUGAGAGUCCUGGAGUAUGAGCUCAACUUAUAAAUUAUAAAAUAUUACAAUAAAAAAAAAUGAAAAGACACGCAUGUAUGAAUAAUUGAGAUAAUUUAUGUUUCUAGUGAAAAAUAAAGGAUAAAAUUAGAUUAAGAACUUCUUCCAUUUCUUAACUAUUUAUGCACAUAGUGGAUUCAGUUUUAUCAUUGAUUUUAACUUUUAAGGUAUGUGUGAUUUUUUUUUCAAAUAUAGAAAUAGUUGAUAAAAUAAAAAAUAAGUAUAAGAAACAAAAACAUAACACUCUAACGCUUUGGUAACAAUUUAUUGAUAAAGAAUGGUUAAAUUAUAUUGCUAGUAUGUACUUACUGAAUUUUUUUAUUGUUGAUUUAUGUGAUUUUUUUUAUAAUUAAUAAAGAUAAAGAUAUUUCAAAUUGAUUCGGGAUAAUAUUGAUGUGAUAUCUUAAAACGUUAUAAAAAAGUUUUACUCUCAUAAUAUAAAUACUAGUAAAAAAAUAUUUAAUGCAUCUAUUACCUUUUGGUUUUCAUGAAACUUAAAAUAAAAAGUCACAGUGACAUUUUAAUAAUUUUUGCAAGUAUAUAGGAUUCGGUUAAAAAAAACUCAGGUCAUAAGCUUACUUUUGGCGUUGGUUGUUCUCACACUGUUGUUAUAGAGUCCAUUGAAGACUUUUCAAUUAAUAAACUUUUGAUACAAGACUUUUGACUUCGGUUCUCUACAGAACCACCAUCGUAGAGUUCUGGAAAAUUAACAAUUUAAUACUUUUUAACUGACAAACUUUCUGGACAAGUUUUUGGUCUCGGUUCUCUAUAGAAUUAUUGUCAUAGGAUCUUAUGAAACUGACAACUUUUCUAGACAGAACUUUUAGCCUCGAUUUUCUGCAGAACCGCUAUCAUAGGGUCAUGACGUUGUAGGUUGUCUUUUCAAUUGGUAAUCCUAUGGCCACGGUUGUUUUAAAACUUGUGUCAUAGAAUCUUUAUGCUUCAGUUAUAUCACAAACUGAGGCAUAAAGUUUGAAACAAAUUUCAAAAUUUUCAGUGAAAAUAUUAUUUUUUUAUUUUUUGGAAGGCUUUAAGUAACGAUUAUUUGUAGAACCAAAACCAUAGAGCCCUUAUUGCUUUGAUUAGUAGAAUAAUCGAGGUAAUAUGUGUUCCUAGGGUUAUAUUUCGUGAAAUAACAAAGCCUUCUCUUGCACAUCUUCACUUUCUCUUUGGUUAUUCUUCUUCUUCUCUGCUAUGAUGAUGCUUACAAUGACCAGCACAUGUAUUUUUUUUCUUUCAUUUUACACAUGCCUGUUGAUUAACUACUUUAGGGAUAAUUUUAUUUCUUUUUGACCGAUUGGUUUCGUGUACAGGUACUUUUUUGUUUUCACCAAUUACUCUUUUUUCGUCACGACGUAGCAAUUUAUUUCGGCACUGAACCCACCUUCAUUCAUGGUUAGUUUCGUUUUGGGCUUUGAUUAACUUUCGUUUUCGUUUUUUGAACUGGUUUGUUGUUCAUACACCAUAGGGUAAAAAUAAAAAUAUAUCCAAAUGAAUUGAAAAAUUUUCCAAAGUACCAAAAUACCAUGAAAAGCUCCCAAAAAAAAAUGUGUCAAAAUUCAAACUGUAAAUAUGUGAAAUAUUUUUGCAAAGUUUGAAAAAAAUAAAAUAAAUUGACGAAAAAUAGAAAACGACUUUUUUUAAAACAAAAAAUCUAAAAGGAACAGUCAUCUGCUCUGGUUGCCAUGGUGUUGGAAAUUUAUUUCAUAAUAUGACCAAAUCGACUAACCGGAACAAAUGUUAUGAUAGUUUAAAAGAUCUAUGACUAUUUUUAUUUUUAUUUUUUUAUUUUAAGGGUCUAUAUUAGCGGUUUCUAACAGAACCAUUGCCAAAAACCCAAUUUAUUUUUAACUUUUUUGGGUUAAUGUUUCGGUUCUUUUGAACCAAGGUAAAAUCAUGACCCUUUUUGCUUCGGUUGUUGACUGAGGCCAAAAACUCCUCUUUUUUAUUUAGUCUGAAUAUACCUAGGUUCGAAAAUCAUUGUCAAAUGUCGAAAAUAACCGUUGUCGUAACCCUUUGCUACAUUAGUGAGAAUGUAUGGAUUUAGGGAACUCGAUUUGGUUUAAUGUUGUGUCAUCAAUUAAAAUUUUGGUUCUUUGGAAGCUUUUGUGCGGGUGUUUUUUGAGGUUCAAAAAAGGAAUGUGGUUUUAUACUCUAUAUGUUCUUUAUGUGGGAAUAAUUUUAAGUUUUUCUCUCAUUUGUUCUUUCAUUGUUCUAUUGUUAUGCGAUUAUCGGAACGAUUGAUGAGAGUUCAUCAAUUGUAGCAAUUUUUCUCUUUGAAUUUGAUUGUUUAAUUUAUGAAGUCUUCUUAUAGUCCUUUAUUUAAACUUAUUAAAGUGAUUGUCAUUAUUGUAGUUAUCUAAAAGAUGUAGAGAAUAUUAUAAUAAAUCUCAGGUUCUAAUUCUUUUUGUCCUUAUUCUUCAAAUUAAGGAAUUUGUGUUUAUAACUAGAAACAAAUGUAAUAAGCAUAUGAGUAAUAAUUUCUUUGAUAUUUUGGUAUUGAAAUUUUUUAAUAUUCCAACCAAGGAGGCUAGAAUGGUUUCAUUUUUGAAUGUUAUAUGGCAAGUUUCACUUGUUAAAUAAUUUAAGGUUUAUAAUGAUAUGUUAAGAAAAAAUUGUCUAAAGAGACUAGAUUGUUUAGCAACUCAUGUUUUGAAGUUUAACAUACAAUAAUUAACGAAAUAUCAUUUAGUGAGUAAAGCGUUUAAACAAUGUGCUUACUAAAAACAACGUUGAAUGAAAUGAGUGUUUUAUAAACUGACCAUCAAACAACGUUGGACGAAAUAAGCAUAUAUAACAUUUUAUGAAAAUAUUGUUUUCUUGCCUAUAUCGUCUAAUAGACAAUGUUUGAUAAACAACGUCUAACAAAAGAAAACGUCUAAGUGUAUGCUUAACGAAACACUAAAGCUUGAAAUUUUAUAUAUAAACAGUGUUGAAUAGAUAAAGUGUCUCAAGAAAAAGAAUCGUCUAGGAAAAACCCACUAAACAUCGUAAUGAAACUUAAGCAGCUUUAUGAAAUAAGCAUUUAACAUUCAUAUCGACUAAAAGAUCAUAUAUUAAACACUAUUUGAAUUUUGUGACUCAAACAGACGUGGUUGAAAGAGUUAAAGCUGUUAAAUAAAAAUAUAUUCAUAUUCUAUUUUUUAGGAGGAUUUUAGGCAUUAUUUAAUUAAUUAUUUUAGCAUAUAUUUUUAAAAGUCAGUUACAAAUUAUGUAGUAUAAAUAUUUACUGUUUAUGCUCAAUAAAAGAUAUCAGUUUCCCUUUUAUUAUUUUGUCACUUAUACGCUAAAACUCAACAAUUGGUAUCAAGAGCAAAAAGGAUCUUACGGGAUCUGUGAUAUAACCCAUAAACACCUACAACCACAAAAUAGCCACCACACACAUAAAAUGAAAUCUCAAACCUCAUUUACUACGGUUUCUAUACCUGUAUUUGAUGGACAAAACUAUCAAAUGUGGGUUGUCAAAAUGGAAGUAUCUAGAUGCUAACGAUGUAUGGGAAGAGGUAGAACAAGACUACGAAGUGGCUCCCUUGCCAGAUAAUCCUACAAUUGCUCAAAUGAAAAAUCACAAAGAAAGCAGGCUUCGAAACUCUAAAGCCAAAUCAAUUUUGUUCACAGUUGUAUCUCCAGUCAUUUUCAACAAAAUAAUGACGUUGAAAACGGCAUAUGAAAUCUAGAACUUUUUGAAGGAAGAGUAUGAAGGCAAUGAGAGAGUCAAAGGAAUGCAAGCUUUGAAUCUGGUUCGAGAACUUGAGAUGCAGAGGAUGAAAGAUUCAGAGACAACCAAAGAUUAUGCGGACAAGCGUCUCGGCAUUGCAAACAAAAUACGUCUUCUAGGCAUUCAGAUUCCUGAUUCUCGAAUUGUUCAAAAAAUACUUGUAACAAUUCCAGAAAGAUAUGAAGCCACAUUGACUUCCUUAGAGAAGUCAAAAGAUCUUUCUACUAUUACCUUGGUAGAACUUUUGGCAGCACUUCAGGCUCUAUAACAAAGAAGACUCAUGAGAGAAGAAGGUGAUAUUGAAGGGGCUUUGGCAGCUAAAUUGCUAAAAAAAGGGUCAGGAAGUUUCAACCACAAAAAUGAUAACAAAUCCUCUAAUGUUUUUCCAUCAUGUCCUUUUUGUAAGAAAAACAAUCAUCCACAUACAAAGUGUUGGUGGAGGCCAGAUGUGAAAUGCCAUAAAUGUGGACAAUUAGGGCAUGUGGAGAAAAUAUGCAAGUCAUCAGAAAAACAAGAGAAUGUACAAGCCGUGGUUGAAGAUGAUGAAGAAGAACUUUUUGUUGUUUCUUGCUUUGCUACUGCAAGAUCAACAGAAAGUUGGCUAAUUGAUAGUGGUUGCACGAACCACAUGACUUACGAUCAAGAAUUAUUCAAAGAUCUUGAUACAACCUACAACACAAAUGUCAGAAUUGGAAACGGAGUAAAAAUAGAAGUUAAAGACAAAGGAACCAUCGCAAUCAAAGGUUGCACAGGUUUGAAAUUAAUUAUUGUUGUUCUAUACGUUCCUGAAAUUGACCAAAAUUUGUUGAGUGUUGGCCAACUUCUAAAGAAAGGCUAUAAAGUUCUAUUUAAAGACAAAUCAUGCAUGAUUAAAGACUUAGAUAAUAAAAAAUUAUUCAGAGUUCAAAUGAAAGGCAAGAGCUUUGCCUUAAAUUUGAUUGAUAAAGAGCAAUUUGUUAUGCCCAAGGUUGAAGACAACAUGCAGGUACAAGGGUUGCCUGAAUUGGAAGAGAAAUCACCUAUAUCCACAACUUUGCAAUAUGGAAAACAAACGAGGUUGCUUUUUCCAAAAGACAAAUCUUGGAGAGCAACAAACAAGUUGCAGUUAGUACAAACAAAUGUUGCAAGACCUACAAGAACCUCAUCUCUUAAUGACAAGAAAGUAAAGCUAGUGGGUGUUAAAGUUGGUUAAAGUAAAAUUAAACCAGAAAAAUUACAGGAAGAAAAGCAUCCUAAGACAAUUCUUCCCAAAGCAAAAGCUGAAAACGCAGAGCAACAAAGCAAUACUGAAAAGGUGAAAGACACAGACAACUCAAAGUUAGACGCAGUUCUUGAAAAGAUAAAGAAACCAGGAGUGGUCGAGAAUUCCAAAGUGGAGGAAAUUUAGAUGAUACGGUCAAGGAUGAAAAGACUUAAAGUAUGCUGACUUUGAGUCAAGGAGGAGUAUUGGAAUUUUGUGACUCAAACAGCAUGUGGUUGAAAGAGUCAAAGUUGUUAAAUAAAGAUAUAUUCCUAUUCUAUUUUUUAGGAGGAUUUUAGGCAUUAUUUAAUUAAUUAGUUUAGCAUAUAUUUUUAAAAGUCAGUUACAAAAUAUUUAGUAUAAAUAUUUACUGUUUAUGUUCAAUAAAAGAUAUCAGUUUCCCUUUUAUUAUUUUGUCUCUUAUACGUUAAAACCCAACAAACACUCUACUUCCUAAACGAUGUUUUUAUCAAACGAGAUUACAUGUGUAAAUAUGUUUUAAAUACGCAAUGUGCAUAAAUGAUUACAAACAUUUAAAACAUUUAUUGCAUGUAUGAAAAGUACAUUUUUGCUUGUAUGUCUUGCUCUCUUUAUCUCUAUAGAUAAUGACACUACCAAGCUUUACUCAAAAACUCUACACAAUGAUCAAAAAGACGUUAAGAGAUAGGAAGCACAAUAGCUCUGCAACGUAGACCUGAGUCUGACUACUUACCUAAAAAGGUUAUGAAGUUUACAUAGAAGUCAAUUUUCUGUCUAACGGAUCUUUCUCAAAGAUAUAUAUAUAUAUAUAUAUAUAUAUAUAUAUAUAUAUAUAUAUAUAUAUAUAUAUAUAUAUAUAUAUAUAUAUAUAUAUAUAUAUAUAUNAUAUAUAUAUAUAUAUAUAUAUAUAUAUAUAUAUAUAUGAUUGCAUAAAGAGAAGGCAAGAAGAAUACAUGUAUAAGCUUAUUGUUGCAUUGUCUCUACACAUCGUCUCACACUUUCAUUAAAAGAGAAAAUAUUUUCAAGUUUUUAUAUUUCAUUGCGUUGAAUCUAUCCUCUCUUUGAGACUUGCUUGAAUUUGUACUUGUAUCCAAACACACAUUAAUUAUGUUUAUAAAUUCAUAAGUAAAUUAAAUCACUUGUUUAACUCAUUUAAGUUAAAUGAUCUAGUCAAAUUGACUAGUUUGAAACCAAGAAAGGGUAAACUCAUUGGUCCAGUUUGGAUUAUGGUAAACCAUGAGUGGUUGAUAAUACUUAUUGAAACCAAGAGUUUUUUAUAAUACUCGUUAUAAAUCAGGUUUGUCAUUAUAAACUAGGAAUGUCGUUGAUAUGUAUACCAUUAUAGUCCAAAUUUAACCAUAUAUUGGGUGAUAGUAAAAUUAUCAAUGCCAAAAAAACUUCUACAUCGCAUGAUUGUCACACUCACGGACAACCACCCAUUAGCUCUCACAAAUAAGAAAAAAAAAAUUAGCAUAACACACUCAAAAGCUACUACCAUAUGAACUAUCACAUAUCUUUGUUUUAUUUAUAUUUUUGUAUAGGAUUUAAUACUACUCUCACAUUUUUACAAAAAUAAAUCAAAACAUCAUAAAUAAGACUCAAACUCAAGACUUUACCCAUCAACACAAAACUUCUAACCAAACAAAUUAUCACAAUAUUUUAAAAUAAUGAUAGCAAUUUAAAAACAUAUUAUUAUCUAUUAUCUAUUUUGUCUCAUGUAAAUAUUUUUCUUCAGUCUUACAUAAUGCAAUUUGUCACACAAAAUAAAUUUUAAUGUCAUUUAAAAAUAAAUACCAAAACCAAUACUUUUAAAAAUAACCAAACAAAAACAAAGUUUGGACUAAACACCAUUUCCAAUUUUACUUAAUGGACAAAAACAUAUUUUUCCUUUUCAAGCUCAAACUCAUAUUCAUGUAAGUAACAAUUUGUUAGUGAAGUAACUCGAAUUUUGGGCAAAGUGCCAAAUAUUCGUUGCCUUCACCGACAGCCAAAAUUGGUGAAGUUUGAUAUUACGUUCUCAGCGCUAUGUCUCACACAUACUUCCAAAUAUGGAAGAGGUUUCUUCUUCAAGACUUGCCACCAUAAGAUAUUAUUACAUGAUUACAAAUUUUCCACGGUCCCAAAUUAAAAUCAUUAGUGUGAUGAUAAAUAAAUUGAUAUCAUAAGAUCUGUUCAGUUGUUUUAAUGUUGAUGGAGAAUAUAUAUAUAUAUAUAUAUAUAUAUAUAUAUAUAUAUAUAUAUAUAUAUAUAUAUAUAUAUAUAUAUAUAUUCGCAUAACAUGAGUAUAAAUAUGAUUUGAAACUCGAUUUUUUAAAUUAAAUACGAAAAUGAGAAAAGAUGCAUACAUAUUUACAUAAAUUUUUAAAAUAAUUUUAUUUAUUUGAUAUUUUACUUUAAAAUUUAUAUAAGUAUAAUUUAUUCAUUAUCAUUUUGUCAAAAAAUAUUUAAUAAAUAUUUAGAUAAGUACAGGUACAAAUAGGACUAUAUCAUAUUUGACCAAAAUAGAAAUAAAACACAAAAUUUUAUAUUUAUCAAGUAUUAAAGAUAUGUAUAAGUUUUUUCUUUUAGGACAAAAAUAAAUAUAUUAAACUCGUAUAUCUCCAUAGAGGUGAGUCCUCCGUAACCAGUUGUUAAAAUGCUAAAAUAUUUAUUUAGCUCGUAUAAAUAUUAAACAAAAAGAUAUACGAAAAAAUAAUAUAAAAUGAUAGAAUAAUCCCUCGUAAUUAGUUGACUAUGAGUAUCACAAGUUCAAUGAAUAUAUGUAGCCGUUAGGUUCAUAAAUUAAUUGUUUUUAUAUAUAUACUAGUGGAAACUUUUUUUUAGAUGAUUAAUUUAAUUUUAAAAACUAAAUAAAUUUAAAUAAAUAGUGAUUUAAAAGAAUAAAAUAAUAAAAUUAAAAAAUGAUGAAAUUUAAAUUAACUACUUUUUUUUGUUAACGAUUCUAAAAAAAAAUAUUUUUAUGGGUUAUAAGUAUCAUUUUAACUAUUAUUUUUAUUCUCAAAUAAUAUUAGAAGGUUUUGGUAUCAUUGUAGAUAUUUUAUUUUCUCUACAAUUAUUUAACUCUUUCUUAAGGAAUUAGGAGUGGUAAAAUCUUCUACAAAUCAAUUCAUUCGAUUUUUCCUUUUUUUUGAAAGAUAAAUUAAUAUAUUUAAAUCAUAUCUCAUAUAUAUAAAUAUCAUAUUCUAUCAAUCUCGAAAUCUUGAUUCAAAUUCUUCCAUAUUUAAUAAAAGAUGUAUCUUUCUUUAAUUGGAAUAGUCUUUUUUCUUAAAAAAAUGAAUUUUUACUUUUUUUUUCACACAGGAAUUGAAGAAUUUUAUUUUUCUACAUAAUUUAUAUGUAUGAAAAUAUGAAUUUAUUUUUCUUUUUCUAGAUAACAAAUCCUCUCAGUUACAAUUAAAACAUUUUCACGUUUUUUUGAGCAAAUUUUUUUCUAUAAAACAAUAAAACAUCUUAUAAAAGUAUUUAUUAAAAAUUGUUCAUAUACUUUUUUUUGUAUGUUAUUGUGUACGUAUCCUAUGCAAUGUUUUAUAACAUCAUAUUUAGCUAUCUCAAUAUGUAAUCUUAAAUCAUAACUGCAUCGUAACAAAAUAAAAGAUGAAUCAUGACUAAUUGCUAAAAGUGAUAAAAAUCAUACUUCAUCUCAAUACUAAAACACUCCUAAGUUAUGUAUUAUACAGCUAUGUAUGGUACGCUUACAUAUUUUAUAUAUACGUAGUGUUCGUGUACUUACAUAGUGAACAUCUACGUAUUUUACGUCUACAAAUUUUACGUCUACAAAUUAUACGUUUACAAAUUGUAUUUUACAUAUUGUACGUCUAUAUAUUCUGUGCCUACAAAUUGUAAUAAUGAAAUCUAAUGCGAUAACUAAAUUUGAUCCAGGAUUUUUGUACCAUCAAUUUUUUUUUCUUUACCUUUAUUCAUUCUUCUAUCUACUAUUAUCUAUUGUAUGGUAACUAGAAAUUAUAUAGAUAAACAUUCCUAAUUAUCCACAAAAUAAAUGGAAGUAAACAUAUCUAUCAAGCAAAUCGACUAAAAACUCUAGAUAACACAAAAAAUGAACAGAAACCCUUUUGCUAAUGUAUCUUGAAUUUUCUACUCACUAAUAAUUACAUAAUUACCUCCCCAUAACGAAAUAAAUAUAAGCAUAAAUACAUAUGAUAUGACAUUUGCCGAGGCCAAGGAUGGAGAAUAACAUUGUAUUUUUCAAUAACCAAAACGAUCGAUUUAAAUUCAAACUAUUGACUCCAAACGGUCAACAUUACAUCAAAUAGACUGGACUCAAUCCUCUACAAAAGAAUACGCAAGACUCUUCCAGUAUUUCAUUAAUCACUGGCAAACAGGAGUGACACUGUGAAGAGCUCCAUGAUAUAUUUUACAAAAAGAAUGGUUUCAACGCUUUUGAAUGCAUGAGCCAUAUUUCAUUAGAUGAGCAUUUCUAAGACUAUAUCCAGAAAGUGAAACCAUAUUCAGGGCAAAUGUCCACAAUACCUGCUCUACGUAAAUUAGUUAGAACUUGCUUGAUGUUGAUCGAUCAAAACACCUACAGUAGAAACAAAAAAUAUAUAUCAUCAUAAGGGCGUAACUUAAAUAUAUUGUUAGAAACCAUGCGACAAUUCAUAUUGGAAGACAGAGCAACUCAAUACAUUCUAAUUAAAUCUUUAUACAAAAAUAAUAAAGUUAGUAGAAAAAAAAAGAGAAGAUUUCAUUUAAAUCCAAAGUACAUAUCUUAAAUCCAGUUAAAAAACCGUACAAUUUGGUGAGGGUAAGUUUAGAGAACAGAGGUUAUCUAUAGGUCAGAGCAUGCUGUAAGUUUCAAGAUGGUGCUUAUAGAACUCGGACAUACAAUAUUUCAUUGAACUUACUAAGUAUAUUUGGACAAGCUGAUCCAGAAUGACUUCUACCAAGAAAAAAAAAUGACUUAUGCAAGUUAAAAACAAAAACUUAUAAAAAUUAUACGAAAGAUUCUCCGAAUUAGUUAAUACAUAAGAUAAUUUUAAUUUAUAGAAAAGUUUUUCUUUUUUUUCUUUAUACUUUUCUCUUCUAAAAGUCCUAAUCUACACUGGGCGAGAAAUGCAAGUAGCAUUUGAUUCUUCCAGUCUAACUUGUAACCUUAUAAACUUUCAUGGACCAAAUUAAGGUAUUUGGUAAACAAGUUUCCUACAAAAGCUUAUAGCUACCCUAAACUAUUUCAAAUAGCUUAUAAUUUACAUAAGCCUGUAGCUAUUUUUUCCUUCCACUAAUAUUCUUUCUAGUUUAAUAUACUUAUUUUUUACCCAAGGUCUCUUAAUUGUUCACAUGUAACAACUUUUUUAGUUAUUAUUUUAAUUAUUACAUGUUCUCUUUUUAUUAAUUCUUGGGUAUUACACUAUUAACUUUAAAAAUAUAUUUUAUCUUAAAAACCAACAACAAAAAUUUUAUCCUACUCUAUUGUUAAGACAUGCUAAAUGAAUAACAUGACGCCAUUGGGCUAAUCUAAGAUGAUAAUAAUAACCUAACAUGUUUGUCUAUAAAACAAAAAUAGAACACACGAAAAAUUCAUCAUAUAACUCAUGUUACCUUACAUUUACUAGUACUUCAAUAAUUAAUUUUACUAAACAUUUCUUAGUUUUUCCGAACAUAGUCAUAACCCUUUCACCUUUUGUUUCCUGUCAAAAUUUCAAACAAAGAGUUAAGGAACAGAAGUCAAAAUGCAAUAUCACUCAUCUUUCUGCUGAAUCCAUAUUUCCUAACAGAUAUGGGGAAAACACUAUGAACAAACCUUCUGGACAUUCUGAAUUAGUAUACACAGAUCUUAGUUUCAAUAGAUAACUGCUUUCUGCAAAAUCAUGCAAUGAUUUAUAUCCUCGUCCCCCGCCAUCAUCCUCAGAUUCCGCAACAUCCUUAAUUGGCGAUCUUCUACAUUUAUCAGCUUCCUAGUUAAACAUCAACAAAUUGAAACAUAAAUAAUAAUUGCUGAAGAUAUGAUUUAAUUACAUUAAAUUGGAAAACAUGAUAUGAUAUGAUAUGAUCACAUAAAAUAUGGAAAUAUCUGAGAAAAUGUUUUGCAACACUGGUUAUCAAUUUUGUUCCUAAUUAUUGUAUCUCUUCUUCAUUAUAAAUAAGAGUACAAACACGAGUACAAGAUACACAACAAUAAGCAAUCUUUCCAAUAUAGUAUCAUCCAUGACCAUUUUAGUCACUGAUCCCUUGAUAAGCCAUGACUUUUUCCCUAGAGGCAAUGACGCUGUCUUUGCCACUGAGACUUUCUCUUUCAGGUAAACAAUACCCGCUGCAACAUUUUUACUUUCCAGCAACCACCGAGCAUAUUUUGCUCUCUGGCAGCCACCACAUGCUCUGACCAUUUUUGCUACACAGUAGUCACGCCUUCCAAGCACUUUUGCUCUCCGACAACCAUCACAUCCUCAUAUACCAUUUUUGGUCUUCUGCAGUCACCAUAUCCUCCUAGCAACUUUUUCUCUCCAACAGCCACCACGUCCUAUGAAUAUUUCUGCUCUUUAACAGCCACCAUGCCCUCUAAGCAUUUUUGCUCUUCAACAGCUGUUGUGUCCCCUGACCUUUAACACAACCCUGUCAUCAAAGUCGACCCUUCUCUGACAACCACUAUGCUGCUCAACACAUGGCCAACAGCUGCCAUGUGCCACCAGCUCCUUAGCAUAUGACCUUCACACCUGCUCCAAACUGAUGCAUGAAGCUUGACUUUGUCAGCUCCAGCAACAAACUGGCUUAUCUGCUUGCUAAGUCUCUCAAGGAGUCUCAUGUUGAUGAUAUUUAUCACAAGCUUGUCUCAUAUGAAACAUAUGUUCCAACUUGAAGGAGAGUAUUAAAAAUAUGAUUUGAUUACAUUAAAUAAGGAAAUAUGAUUUGAUCGCAUCAAAUAGGGAAAUAACUUAGAAAAUACUUCUCAUUAGUAGUUCUUGAAUUUGUUCGUCACUACUAUAUAUUCUCCAUUAUAAAUAAGAGUAUACUCAUGUGUACAAGAUACACAAUGACAAGCAAUCCUUUCAAUAAUAAUAAAAUCUAAACAAAAGCAACUGAGGAGAAUAUUUUCAGCAACAUAUAUGAAGGACAACAUAAACAAACAACGCAUUCAGAAAGACCUAUCAUCUAAGGUUAAGGUAUUACGCUCAAAUCAAAUGGCGCCAAGUACAAUUUAUAGAGAUUCACCUGUAAAAAGCCUAGCAUUUGCUCUUCAAUUGUACCAUGCAUAGCUAGUGUUUCAACGUGAAUAGGACGAGAAGCACCCAUUCGAUGAGCACGACUAAUUACUUGCUCCUCCAUACUGACAAGAUUUCAAGUCAGAAGAUAAUGAAAUUGGAUAAACAUUCCAAUUUGAGUCAAAGUAGAAAAAUCCAACAAAUUGGUAAACCAAAAGAUUCACUGCCAAUCACUUUAUGCAUCUGCAUGGCUACAGUUGGCAAGUUGAAUUCCAAAACAGAAAAUUCAGUAUUGACAGAUAAUGUAAAUUAACCACACCCUGGACCACAAUUUUAAAUGACUAAACCAUUUAUGGCAAAAAAGUUCACAAAAUUUUAACAUGCUCAUGACUUUAGAAUAUCAAUUUAUUCCUCAGCCAAUAAAAAAUUAUAUCCUUGUUUGUAAAUUAGAAUAGUCAGAUGUAUUAACCUUCUGUCCCAAAUUGGCUCCAUUAGAAAUACAUGCGUAACAAAACUCAAGUCCAGACCCAAUGCAGCACUUCCAUCCAUUAGAAGCGCCAUACAACUUGAAUCAUGCUGGAACGUGGCUAAAGACUUCUUCUGAAAAAGGAAAAGGUAAAUUAACCAAAGGUCAGACACCAAAAGUAAAUUAAAAUUUUCAGAAACAACCAAGAAUUCCAACAUUAUACCUUGUUACUGGAAUGCAUUGGGCUAUACAUUCCAGCAUAUUUGAUACCAGCAAUAGCUAACUGCCAAAGAGAAACAAGUCCAAUUUAAUAGUUAGAUCAUUUGCAAAAGCAUCCACAAAUGCCAAAAAAGUAAAAUAGAAACACUUCACAAAAGACCAUACACAUAAAUGCACCUGCUGUUCAAUGACAUGUAUAUGCUCAAGAAAUUGAGAAAAUAUAAGAACUUUCUCAAGGUUAGAAUUGGUCUUUGUGCUGCUCUUCAAACAUUUUUGAAAUGCUGAUUUAUCAUCACUUCUAUGCAGAGAGAAACUAUUCUCAAUAGGCAUCUCAUCAUUGUUAUUGUCUGUACAGAAGCUAGUCUCUUCGUUGGUUCCUUGCAAGGCUUUCAACUUCUGGACAAGAUAUGAGACUUUAGUACUAGAUGUAGAUUGCCAAUCUGGAUCCCAAUUAUCCUGGGUUCAACAAUCAACAUUGCAUAUUAGCUUUGUAAAACAGAAAAAUGGAAGGAAAAGAUAAAUGUGAAUGCCAACUGAGCUCUUCAUAAACCAUGCCUGCUUAUAUGACGGUUGUAGCUCAAUAAGAUCUUUGGGUACAGGCCACUUUGGAUUAGGAUUUUCAGGUCGGGGAAGUCUACUUUGCAUCUCAUACAAUUUACUGCAGCCAGGAUAAGAACACUUCGUAUGGUCAAUAGAAACACAAUCAAGGCACAACAAAUGCCGACAUGGUGUAAUGACCGGAAGGCGGCACCAUUCCUUGCACCUUCACAAUUUAUUUAGAAUGAUAAGAUUAAUAAGCAGCAACAAGACAAAAAAAAAGAUACAAGAAAAUACAAAACCUAGGUACUACCUGACACAGUGACCACCAUACAAGAGAUUACAUCUUAUGGAGGUAUACUCUCCAGAAGUAGGAUCCAGACCACUUUGUACUAACAUAUCCAUUGUUUCUUGAAUAUCUUCACCAGCAUGUGUAACCUUAAUAUGUCCAGCAACACAGCACGAAAGCCUGACAUUUUUUAUAGUUGCCCUACGAAACUUCCACUGCUUUGGAUUCAGUAGACUCUCAACAUGUGAGGGAUCAUUCCAAUCAGCCAUCAAUAUAUUACGCCUUACAGUGAUUACCAAUUCAUUGUAACUUCUAGCAUGCUCCUCAUUAAAAUCCAGAUAAACAACUUUCUUGAUGCAUGGUGGGAUGCUUUGUAAUUCUGUCUUUCUAGCACUAAUCAUGCAUUUGUGAAGCAGAUCUAACAGACGAGACCUCCCUUCCUCCAUUUCUGCUUCAAAUGGCCUGAGCACACCAGCUUCCCAUGACUUUUGAUUCAGUCCAUAAGAUUCUUCAUGAAGGAACCUUAGCAAUGUUUGCAGAUGUGGAAGUUGGCUGUUAGGAGUGUUAGGUGUAGGAGUUCCUGUUAGUAUCCAUCGAUUAGAAGCUAUCAAUGAAAUGGCCAUUUGCAACUUGUUUGUUAAGUUCAGGCUAGACCCAAGAGUGUGCCCCUCAUCUAAAAUUACCCGAAACCAAUGUACUUGCAUCAAAACACUCCUCUUACGAGGGCCCCACUCUGCACUCAGACGACUAAAAGUGGUUAUGACAAUGUCGUAAUCCCAUGCAAGACAAUGCACAGAUGGCUUCCGGUGAUCAGUCCAAACAUAAAUCCGCAAUUGACCGGGCCUCACAUGCUUUUCUAUUUGUGUUUUCCAAUGAUCAACCAAGUUUGCUGGAACAACUACCAGGGUAGCCCUUGACAAGUAUAACCUGACAAAAUCUAUAGGCUCACGGAGUGCCAUGCCAAGGGCAGCCACAUCAAAAGUCAAAUUGUUAAGAUGUUGAGGAUAGAACCACUUGCACACACCUUUGUCUACUCUCUUUAAGAGGCCAAAUGCUUGAAAUACUUUGUGGAAGGCAUUAAAAUGUCUGCCAGAUGCAGUACACGUGUUUAAAAUAGGACCUCUUAUUCCAUUUGUUUCCAUAGCUGCAAGCUUGUCUGUUGAAAUUUUAGCCAACCAGGCCAGGGCUUUUUUUGUCUGAGAAUUUAUCAGUGAGUAGUGCUCCUUAAGCACGCUGGUGAAAAAAGAAACAUUUUGUCUGUCACCACCAUGAGUCCCUUUUAAGUGAAACCCUGGCAAGUAUGUUAUCCUAGAUGUAGAACGAAAAUGUUGUUCAGGGACACUACAACUUUGAUAAAGAGGGUCAGGGUUCAUACUACAAAACCAUGCUGCACUAGAACUAGCCAUACUAUUGUCUGCCAGCUUUCGCCACUUGUGACAAGCAUCACACUGAAUCCAUGUAUCACUGUACUCAAAAGGAUCACCUUGAGGCUUCCCAGGCAGCUUCUUUUGAGAUAAAUGAGGUGUAACAUCUGAUGCAUGUUUUGCUUUAAUUAAUCCUUCAACUUCUCUUUCCUUGGAUAUCAUAGCUUCCUCUUC